rnacentral:lncRNA from 1 species
UCAUUCAUGACUUUGCAUUCAAACUCAUUUAAGAUGAAGAUUCAUAUCCAAACAUAUUCAAAAAUUUUAAAAAAAGACAUAUUUUGGAGGGAAACCAUUUUUCUUGUGAAACAAGUUACAUAUAUCAUUCAAAGGAGCAACUUUCAUUACAAACAUCCAAAUUCAUUACAAAGAGAGUAAAAACCAAAUCCCAUAAAAAAAUUAGUUUGACCUAGAGUUUCCUUUUGGUCAACAAUUGACUUUUUGGUCAAACAGUUGACCAAAGUCAAACUACCUAAUUCUAUUUUUUCUUCAUUCACAAGACAUCCCAUUUUUUGAUACUCCAAGCCUCCAAUGUCUUCAAAGUUCUCCAUUAUUCUUGAUGUUUUCAAAAACUUGCAUCUUGGUAAGCCAUGAUAUGUUAUACCUUUUCAGGGCCAAACAAACCAAACAAAGUCUCAUCUUAUCAUGAACCUUAAUCCUGCAGCAACAAGGAAAAAGAAUGACGCACAUUAGAAAGAUCAAACAAAGCCUACACAAACUCAUCAACACAACUCAAUCAUCCAAAUUAAUUCAUACCAAUUAGCAUAGCAUUGCAACAUGACCAAGUAUCAAUCCUAACAGACUAACUAAAUAGCCAACCAAGCCACCCCAAUGUACCUGCAUAACCACCAUUCCUCUGUAACAGUUCAAAAUCACAUCAGUUUAAAUUGACCUACUAACCAUUAAUUGGUUCACUUACAUAGCAACUAUAUGUUUCUAAACUAGGUUCACAAACACAUCAACACAAUUCCAUAGCAGUUCAUACCUUAAUUGAUCAACUUAGCCAACUAAUAUCCAUUCAAAUACCAUAUUCACCACCACACUAAUAUUUUAUGACAGUUCCAAUUUAAAGCUAACUCUCACUAAUAUGCAGCAGAACCUUCAACAACUGUUCAAUUCAACACAAGCUUACUAACUAAUUAACCCAACAAUCUAUAACAGUUCUAUCAUAGUCUAGUCAAUAGUUCCAAAUCACUAAAUUUUAACUUACUAACAUGCUGCUAACUGUUCACUUCUACUUUUAAGCAUUUAAGAUAACGACUAUAACCACUAAUAGUUAAAAUAUCAAAUUCCUACUAACUUCUAUUGGCUAACCUUCAUAGUAGUUCAUACUAACUAAUGCCAAAAUAACAAUAACAUUUCAAACUAACAUGACUAAUUUCUUCUCACUAUCCUAAUUGGCUCCACGAAUUCAUCAAGCUAACUACAUUAAUUCUCCAUUUCCAUAACUCAAGUGCACAACAGUCCUAACAUCACAACUAACCAACUAACUUAACUAUCAAGUCUCAUUUCACUAACAAACUGAUCCAAACUAACUGAAAUAACUUUCAGUUAACACUGUUAACUUCCUCCAACUAACUUCCUCAUGAAUUCCACUAGCUUUAACCCCUGCCAUAACCUUCAACAAACUCUACCCUAAUUUCCCGAAUUCAGUUACACUCUAUUCAUCUAUAUAAGCUUCAAUCAUCUUCAAUCUAAAGGGACCUUUUUCACUCUGCAAUUUCACCCUCAACAAUUUAUCACUCUCUCUGCAACUCAUCUUCAACCUCUAUCCUCCCUCACUUUAGAGCUCUCUCAUCCUCCAUUAUGUAAAAAUCACAUUGAAGCUUGUCGUAAUCAGAGCAUAACCUAAGCCUACUCCCUAUACACUAUACUCUCUACACUCUUGUCAUAUCAUCAACAACAACAACACGAAGAUACCAAUUCCUACAGACUAGACUCAAGGAGAAGAAGAAGAAGGAAUUGUGGCAAAAAGGAGUAGAUUGGUCUUCUAUAUUCUUCAGCUUUAUAAUCUUCAUCCUUAACAAGUUCCCAGGGAAAGUCUCAACCUUGAAGGUAGAUUCCAUUUCACUUUCUCUUGCUUUAAUCUUGAUACCAGUAUGUAACCUUCAUUGAGGGGAAUCAAAGCCCCAAGGUGGCAUGGCUUGAUUCCCCUCCAUCACCAUUUAUUGGUUUCUAGGGUUCUUGAACUAAUAUUGGGAUUUGAGAGAUUGCAAUGAUUUUUAGAGGGAGUGAAUGUAAGAAACAUAUAUAGUGGAAAAGAACGAGUAGAAUGGUGGUGGUUGAUGAUCAUUAUGGGUUGCUCUGGUGCCUUCGACGCGGCAGAGCGAUUUAUGGUGAAGAGAGUAAAUUAAGAGGGAGAUGACAUUGGUUGUGUAGAUGGAAACGUGAGUGAGGGAGUAUGAGGAUCCACUCUUCCUUUGCCCCUCUCAGUUUAGGCCUCCAAACACCAAAUCCCAAGUACUUUGAUAUAUACACCCUGUGUAUUGCUUACACACAUUCCUUCCUCCUGAACUCACAAGGACAAUGCAAACCUUGGGAUUUCUAAUGAUAAGCCCAACGUGCCCCCUUGAUGGCCAUACUCUCUGAUGACUUCUCAACAAAUGUACCGAUAUCGUUUCAGUAAUAAAAAGAUCGAAUCCACAGGGACUUCCUUCGAGCAAGCCAAAAUGUGUGCAAUUUAUAGAAAACAAGUAAAAAUGGGGGGUUUUCGAGUUUCAGUGUGAAUAAUAAAUAAGUGAGUAAACAAUGUCACGAAAGCGGUCAGGUUGUGUUUUAGAGUCCCAUGUUCUUCUAUGGUUGAUGUUUGAUGCCCUGUAUGAAUGAUCUAAUCACUAUAGCCUCACGGUGAAUUAACAAAAUAGUUAUAGUCGAUCCCUCACAAAAUAACUCACUAACCACCACUAAUAGCUUUCUAUCCCUAGUCUUCCAGCGUAAUCAGGUUUAGGUGAUGUCUAUAAUGUUAAUUCUCUAUGCCACUACUCGGGGUCACCUAUCCCUAUUCAACCAGCAUAAGUACAACAAUUGCCCCAGAUCCAACACAUAGACUAAUGGUUAGUAUUCCCUAUGUUACCAAAUUAGAUUAAAAGAGUAUCUCACAUAAAUGCAUUAUGAACAAGAAUAAAUUGAAUAAGAUUAUAGAUCAAUAGGUUCAUACAAUGGUCAAACCAACAUAGAAUCCAACAAUAUAAAAAUAGGUUCAUCAUAACACAACCUAACCUAGAAGAGUUUAGCUACUCAUAUUGCAAUUAAAAAUACCACAAUUGAUAGAUGAAAAUAACAUAAGAACUACCUCGAAGUGAUGUCCUCAAAUGGCUUCAAAUGCUCUAAAAAUAUGCAUUUGUAAUCUCAAAUUCAUGCUUCAAUCUCCCAAAAUCACAACCCUUGUGAAAGUGCAGAAAAUCCCUUUUCAAAGGUGCCAGAAUGGACCUGAACGCAUCAGAAAAUCCCAGAAAACAUACCUAUCACGCACGUGAUGCCUUACAUUGCACGCGCGAUGCAACUUUAAAGGCCCUAUCGCGUGCACGAUGGUGCACGUGAUUAUUCUGUUGGCUGCACGCUUUUACUCCCUUUUUCACUAAAUCCACAAUUUUCACACUUAGAUAAUUUUUCCUCAUUCUUUGGUUAUUCUUAUUCAUUUUAGAUCAACUUUCAGUUGUUUUGCUCCGAUUCUUUGAUUAAAUAUAUGCAAUGAUAAACUGUCAUCAUAACCCCAAACUUGAAUUGUUGCUUGUCCUCAAGCAACUCGCCUGCAACUGCACAUUUUGACUGACAACAAGUCACGCAAUAACAAUCGAACAUCACCAAAUUAAAUAUUUCUUUUACCUGACCAUUGUUAUAACUCCCAACUCCUAUCCGGCGAAUUCGGAAAACGUCCUCAACAUUAACGAGUACUCAACCUAUCUCUCAACUCACUUUAACUCACUCAAUGGAUAAUGUGAUCUCUCAAUCAACAUGCAAAAUCAAUUAUACUUAGCUUGAUCAUGAUCUAAUAGAGUUCAUCAUAGAAAUCACAACACACACAUUAUAGGUCUUUUCAGGUUGUAACUUGACUUAUGUUUGGGUAGGAUAUUUUGAGGAAAGUAUGUUUAGACCUUUGGAGCUAGGUGCCUAGUUAUCCUUCUAUCACCAUACCUCUUUGUUCCUUUUUGACAGUACUAGAGAGAUUUGGUCUUUCUUAUAAUAUCAUUUUUUUCUUUUCUCAUUUUUUUGAAGAAGUUUCUUUUUUCCACUUUUUAUCACAACAAUUUUUGAAAUUUUGGACCAUAUUCUCUAGUAUCCCAACCCCAAACUUAAAUGUUCGCUCACUUCCAAGAGCAACCCCAAACUUAAUCUUUUGCAUAUGACCAAUAAACUAAAUUUUUUACCUAACUCCAAAGAGAGGAUGGGAAUAUUUAAUCUUUCAAGUCAAUUGGCUAAUAGAUAUGGCUAUGUCACCGAAAUAAAGGGCUUAGGCUUAAACUGAUUAGUAAUGGAUUACCUAUUACUACAUGGUGGUUUUAAAAAGACUCAAAGUUAUAAACAAAAAACUGCCUUAGUGUGUUUCGGUAAAACCAGAUAACUUAAUAAGAAAUAGAUCAAACCAGAUAAAAUAAUAAUGCAUGGAUACACUCAUAAAGAACUAAAAGUGAAUAAUGGAAAUAUUUGGCUCAAACCUUACUAUAUGAGAUAUAUGUAGGUUGAGUACAAGUCCAUUGAUUCUUUUCUCAUACUUCACCUUCAAGUUUCUAGUCACUAUCGUGAUGAUCAAGUUUCUUUUGGAUUAUCUGUUCAAUGCUAAAGUGCUAAUUUGCAAUCGAAAAGAAACAAAAUAACUACAAACUUGUUUAUUUAAGACAAUAUAGGUCUUCUUGGAAGGUUUGUGCUUGAAUAGCAAAUUACUCUUGUGAUUGGUCUUGAAUAGAAAUAAAGUAAAUUCUAUAAAAUAAAAUCUGAUUAAAAAUGAUGGGUUGUAUCCCAUCCAACGCUUCUUUUCUGACAUUAACUUGACGUCCAUAACUUAAAAUACGUCAGGUGUAAGGGAUACCCUCACGCCUGUCACUUCCCUUCUCAUUGCUCCUUUAUAUACUUUCCUACCAUUUUCCUCCAGAUGGUAGCAAGUAUCCAAAUUAUCCACAUAAGAUGUUCAAUUAUAUACCUUGAAAACCACCUUCCUUUUAUUUGACUUCGAGAUAAGUUGACCCAUUUCCACAUCAAUCUUUGCUUUCUUGGUUGCUAAGAAUGGUCGUCCAAGAAUAACAAAUCCUCUUGAAUCUCAUUUUGUAUCAAGCACUACAAAAUUUUCAGGACACACUAAGACAUCGACAUAUACUAAUACAUCACGUAAAAUACCAACCUGUUAAGUAACAAAUGAGUCAGCUUGAGUGAGAGUCAUGUUACUCGGUAUGAUCUCACCCACUUUCAAUGCUUUGAUGGUUUUCAGUGACAUGACAUUUAUGAUAGAUCCCAUAUAACAUAGAGCAUGUGGAAUAUUCACUUCACCAAUAUUACAUGAAAUAGUAAACUUACAUGGGUGUUUUAAUUUAGGUGGUAAGGAUUGAGGUUUUACCACAUAAUCCUUUUCGGUCAUGUUUAGAUGUUCCUUGAUCAUUUUCUCUUUCGUCCCCUUUAGUAAUGCCUGCAUAAAUUUAACAAAGUUAGGCAUUAGUUCUAAAAUUUCACGGAAUGAAAUACUUAAUCGGAGAGUAGCUAGCAUUUCCUUGAAUUUUUCAAAAAGUUUUGAUUCAUCAUUGUAAGACCCCAAUUUUGAUCCUAAGAUCCCUCAUGCUGUCUCCUCAUAUGCAUUAGCUUUGGGAUCACACCUUGACAUCCUCCUUACCCCUCAUUCAUUGGGUUUGCAUUAGGAAAGAUCACCAAGCAUAUUUGAUUGUAUAAUACUUUGUUUUUCCUUAUUUACUAACCAAAAUGCCAAAAACAUGUCAAUGUAUAGUUUACUUCUUUUGUAGGUAGUGUGUGUGUGUUCACUUAUGCUCCAUCAAGCUCAUAUCUAGGGUUUGAGACCCUCAAUGCAAGGAGACUAAUCAAGAGAUGGUGAAAUUGGUUCUAGACAUCAUAUAUGGGUCCCCAUGAUCUUCACAUAUCAUUUUGAUCAAGAAAUCAUCAAGAGUUUGAAGCUUGUUUGCCAUGGAAGCCCUAAAUCAUCUGGGUAUCUUGUGUGACUUCCUUAGCAAGUUUCUUCAUCAUUUGAUCAAAUAUUUCAAGGGAUACUUCACAUUACAUCAUCUUACACAUAUAUGAUCCUCCAUGAGUCCCAAAUAUCAAGAUAAUGUCAAGUUAGCAAGUUGGUUCAUGGUAGUUGACCAGAGAAAGUCAACUGGUCAAAACUGGGGUUCCCUAAACCCUAUCUCCUACAAUUUUUAUCAUAUGAAAUUGAUUCCAAGAGAAACGUUACUUCUUAUUACAUUCCAAACAACUUUCAUGUUGAAGUAAAUAGCUAGUUUUUCUUGGAAAGUCAUUUUCUAUGGUGAAAGAUUAUAUGUCAUUUUGUCUGAACCCUAGUUAGGAGGUCAACUUCCAAGGACCAUAACAUGCUCAAUGUUUUUGAUAUGAAAUUCAUUCAAGUUUCAUGAUCAAAUUUAAUAUGUCCUAUCCAACUUUGAUUCUUGGAAGAAGUUCAAAUUCAACUUUAAAUUGCAUAUUCCAAGAGGAAAGAUUAUAGGUCCUUUUGGGCCAUCACCAUUGAACAAGUGAUUUUCCUCAACUUCAAAAAUGCAUAAAUCCUUCAUGCCAAAUCCAAAUGAGGUUAAAUUUGUGACCAAAUUUAAGAAGUUUGAAAUAUAUACAACUUUGGUGAAGAAAUGUUUUCCAUUUAAAGCCCAUAGCAAAAGUUAUUCAAGGUGGAAGAAGUGAACAUUUGACUUGGUACAUAGAAAAUUUUCAAAUAUGUUUGAUUUUCCAAAUUUCCACCUCAAUAUUCAUCAUGAUCCAAAUUCAAAUGGAAAAGUGUUCAACAUGAAAGUUGUUCCCCUUAAUCCCACUUUUCCAGAAAGUCCAAGAUCAUCUCAUUUGGCCAAGAAAUGAAGGACUUGCGCAUGGGUUAUUCUCGAAGGAUCACUUGGAUGGAUUUCACAUUCACUUUUCAAUCUCCAUUGCAUGAGUACAUGACAUGAUUUCAACAUUGCACAUUGGUAAUUUUGGACCUAAUAGCAUCAUUUAAUGGGCCUAUCACACGCUCAUGCAAGCAUGCAAUGAAAUUUCUAAAUUUGGCAAAUUUUGAAAGUGUGUGAAAAUGAAUUGUAAUGCCUAUAAAUACAACCCUCUUGACUCAGAAUUAAGGAUCUCAUGCCCAAGCUUUGAACCUGCAAUCCAAACCCUCACCAUUAAAGGAUAAUCUUGAUGGUUUUCAUUUGAAAAUCGAGCUUCAAAUCUUAUUCUGUUUUGAGAUUGAAACUCCAAGAGUCCAAGCUUUUCUCUGAUCCAAUUCAUCUCCUACAAGCUUCUGAAGCCAAGCCAAGGACAGCUGGAAGCAAGAUUAAGCAAGGUUGAAGCUCACUCGAAGGUGAUUUUCCAGAAUUUUCAUCUCUUCGAUUCUCUCUCAAUUCUUCACUAUUCUUUGUGAUUUUUGGUUGGCUGAAGUCCUACCAAUGUAGGCAACAAGAUUAAGUUGCUUGGAGGUCAAAUCGAAGCAACUUAGUUCAUGAUCCUCAAAAUUCAAAUCCCUGUAUCUUUUAUAUACUUGGAAUUGGAGAAAAUUGAGGCCAGAUUCGUGAUCCUUAACAUUUUCUCUUUAAAAUAGUGUCCUUAUUUUUAAGUUUUCAUUGAGUUGAAGGUGGACCAGUCCGAUGAGGUCCACCGGAGAAGAUGACUGGAGCCCUACCUCCGGUGGUGUGUUGGCGUGUCCAGAACCAUUUGAUCAUCAUCUCAUGUUUUAAUCUCAGUCUCUCAUUUUAAUUACCAAGUGUGUGGCGCAGUUGACUAAGGUGUUUGUGGAACACACGCGCUUUACCAUCAGAUCUGCCACCUCAAUUAAUGAGGGAGAUCUGAUGGCCCUUGUUUUUUUUGUAUUUUCUGAAUUUCCAUUUAAUCCCACUUAUUUUAUUUUAUUCAUAAAAUUUCAUUUUUAAUCCAAAAAAUAUGGGUCUUUCACCAAAAAUCUUUAAAUAUUUUUCUCUUUCAUAUUAUGAAUUAAAUUUUUUUUUUUGGAUUAAUUUUGAUAUUUUUCAUGAAUUAAAUGUUUUUGUGCAUAUUUUUAAUUGUUUAAAAAUACUUCUGACUUUUCAAAAAUCAUGAAAUUUUUUGUCUAAGGUCCUUUGACCAUUUGUGCAUAUUUUUAAUUGUUUAAAAAUACUUCUGACUUUUCAAAAAUCAUGAAAUUUUUUGUCUAAGGUCCUUUGACCUUGUUUGACCUAGGAUAAAUCUCUUGGCAAUUUAUUUGGUGUUUUGAGGAGAUUUUAGGUUUUAACCAAAUUAAAUUGUAUUUUAAUGCAUUUUAAAAUUAUUUUUAAUUGAUUAAUUGUGUAAAAAUUAUGUUGAGCCAUUUUUAUAGUCUUGGGAUGUUUGACUAUUUGUUUGAGCCUUGGUCAAGGUUGAUUUGAAUUUUGUUGGAUUAAAACCAUUGGAUUUAGGGGAAUGAUGAAAUGUACACUUCAUCUCCCAAAAUGAAUGGAUGGUUUUAAUUUGAUAAAAUUCCUCCCAUGACCAAUUUGUGUUUCUCUCAUUCCUUUCCCUCUUAAUCUUCAUCCCUAUUCUUUCCCAUUCCCUCAUUUGACCAAUGCAAUCUCUAAUGUCUUAAGGCUAAUUGGUUCAUCAAUGACCUUGUGUUAGAUGAACCAACACAAGUAUGACUGAGAUAGGUCAAUCCCUCUUGAUCUUUUCUUUUAGUGUGUGGUAUGUUUUAGGAGUUUGAUUCAUUAUACCAAAUCUCUAACAUGCAUUAACACCUAAAUUUUUAUUUCCCGGUCUCAGAUAGUUGUGACUUCUACAUAAGUCCAAUUACGAUUGCUUAACAUAAAGCUAAAUUUGACCCUAAAGGCAUAACAUUCUAGUAAGUGAGAUUGUAAGUCUCCCAUCCUUCAUGGUAUUGUAUGGAAACUUGACCUUUUUUCCUUCCCAUGGAAGAUGUCUUGGUUCAAGGAUCCAUGCUUGUGAAUUGGUUGAGUGUUCUUCAAAGAAUGACUUAAUAAAUUAAAAGAUAUCACUAACACUUGACUAACCUUUGACUAACAUUUGACUAACUCUUAUUAAUAUUGCUUUACUUUCAAGUCAUUUAAUUUAUGCAAUUUAACUUUAAGUCAUUUAUCAUUCAUUUCCAUUUACAUUUCAUUUAACUUGUUUAUGUUUAUGCCAUUUUCACUUUGCUCAUUUGAGCCAUAUCUUAUGAUUAUAUAUAUUGUUUGUGCAUUUUGAUUUUGUUUGUGGUCUUAGGACCUUAAAACACUUAAUAAACAAUAAUAACCCUAAAAAAUAUUUGGCGGACUAUUGAUCUUGAUAUGAACUUUUGGACUUAGGAUUAGUCAAGAUUCCCUAUGCAAAAAGGACUUGGCCAAUGCCAACAUUUUGAGACCAAGUUAUUGUGAAUUGAGACUUCAUCUGAUGCAAGUCUUGGGAUUUAUUUGAAUUCAUCUACUGUGAUCUCUGGCAUUUUAUUAGUUUUGAUUUGAAAACUUCUUAUCUUUUGGGUUUUGUUUGUACUCUUCCCUUUUCCUUUGGAAACAAUAAAAGCGCAGUGGCGACUCUGGUUUUAUCGACGUCAAGUUUAUCCAUAUCUUGAUGGUCAUGAAUUUACCGCUACAAAAAGAAAGUGGCGACUCUGCUGGGGAGUAGUCCUCAGUGGGUUUAACCUACUUUUUAUGUGUAUAUAUUUGUAUAUUUGGUGUUUGUAUAUGUUGUUUGUGUGAUAUAAUCUGUUUGUUGUGCUUGGGGAUCUCUAAGUAGUGAGAUAAGUUCUAACCCGAACUUGAGUGCAAUUAAGAUAGGAGGAAUGUAUGGUCAUGUUAAACUUGUGUGGAGUAGUCCUUAAUAAGUUGGAUUGAGACCCACCUACUAAGUGGAGACCUCUUUAGAGUUACUGAUGUCACAUAAGUUAUUUGUGGAUAUGCAUUAUUGUCUCUGAUUUUGGGUCCGAGAAGCUGAGGACCGUAGAACAUUUAACCCAACUUGGCCUAUUUAGGACGUAGUACGGAGACUAUUCAAGUGUAGACUUGAUCAUAGUUGUUACGCGAUACUACACUUAGACGAGUUUCUCUUGAGAAUAUUACGGGUUGAUGAGUCAGUCAUCCUAACCUGUAAUAUCCGAUGGAUGGGAUUAAGACUCUGGGAACUUUUGUAGAACAUGAUCUACAAGUAUUUACUCUUAGUACACUCCUUUGGGAUGGUUCUUAACCCGACUCCAUGCUCGUGACUCGCAACAAACCCUUUGAUUCUCGAUUGAUCCGAUCAAGUCUCAUCAAUAUCAAUGGAACUUGGGUGUUAAUAAGGUGAAAGCCAUAAUCCACCAAAAUGGAUGAUUGAUCUUGAUGAUUACUUGAUCCAUCCCUUGACCUUUAUUUUUGUUUGCCUUGUUUGUGAUUCCUUGUGUGUGAUUGUUUCAUUCAUGCAUACAUGCGCAUCAUGACAUUCAUCACAAAAAAAAUUAAUUUCAAGAAAACUAAGGUCUUAUUUACAAAUAUUUUCAGACCAUGGAUUAUGGAUGAAGGAACACUAAGAAGUACAGUUUUAGAUGUCCUAACUUGAAAGAUCUAAGGAAGUUGUCAUCCUUUGUACUAGAUCCCUUGGACUUCAAGCAUCGUCAUGGGAAGCUCUUGUCUGUGUUAUCUACUGAUGUGGUUGAAGGACUUCUGAGUGUUUUGGUUCAGUUCUAUGACCCUCUCUACCGGUGCUUCACUUUUCAGGAUUAUCAGCUUGUGCCCAUCUUGGAGGAAUAUGCCCAUCUCUUGGGUAUACCCGUAUCUAAAAAAGUACCUUUUAGUGGAUUGGAGAAGAUCCCGAGAUCUCAUGUCAUAGCUGAAGCUCUUCAUCUGAAGAAGUCUGAGGAUGAUGCUCAUUUGGUGAAGAAAGGAGGAAUUCUGGGGUUCACUUCUGAGUUUCUCAUUGGUAGAGCUACUGUUUUUUCUCAAGCCGGUAGCAUGGAUGCUUUUGAAGCUAUCUUGGUAUUGCUCAUUUAUGGCUUGGUUUUGUUUUCUAACAUUGACGGUUUUGUUGAUGUUAAUGCCAUUAGAAUUUUCUUGAUUGAGAAUCAUGUUCCGACUCUGUUAGGUGACAUGUAUUUCUCUUUGCAUUUGAGGAAUUCUAAAAGUGGUAGGACUAUUGUUUGUUGUGUUCCUCUUCUGUACAAGUGAUUUAUUUUGCACUUGCUUCAGACGCCUGCUUUCGUGGAGAACUGACAAUGUCUACGGUGGUCCCAGAGACUUAUGUCUCUCACUAAUGAUGAUAUUAUUUGGUAUGAUUCUGCAUUGGGUAGCUUGGACAUUAUUGACAGUUGUGGUGAAUUCUCUAACAUGCCUCUCAUUGGUACACAAGGAGGAAUCAACUACAACCCAACAUUAGCCCGUCGUCAACUUGGGCUCCCCUUGAGAGAUAAACCUAAUAACACUCAGUUAGAGGGUCUAUUAUAUCAGGAGGGUAAAGAUCCCCAACAUUUGAAUAAAAUGAUGAUACAUGCUUGGCAUAAUGUGAAUAGGAAAGGAAGAUCCAAGCUUGUCCACGCAGCUGUGUAGCCUUGGAAGCUUACACUAUUUGGGUGAAGAAGAGAGCUUUGAAGCUGAAGGUGUUGUACACUUGUGAAAUACCUAUGUCUUUGGUUAUGGAUGAGCUAACAACUCUCCCUAACCAAGAUGUAGAGGAGUUGGAAGACGCACUCGCCAAGAUGAAGCGAGAGAGAGAUAUGUGGGAAGAGCAGUUCCAUGCUUUGAGCUGAAAGCAUGAAGAGUUGCAGCUUGAAUCUAAAGACAAGGAUGCAAUUAUUGAGAUUCUUGCAGACCAUGCAAUAAAGAGACAGAGAAAGCCAGAGGAUUUAUUUUCCUCUAGUAUGCCUCAACCUUCCGGUGCUUCGAAGAAGAUUAUUGAUCAACUUGUCCUUGAGAAGGCUGAGAUGAAGACGUCCUUUGAGUCAGAGAUUCGAUGCAUCCGCAGGAAGUAUGCUCUUUUGGCUAGAUCUUCUGAUGCAGUUGCUAAGGAUCCUUCGGAUGAUAGUUUCCUUUUUCUCUUAUAUUUUUAUUUUGGUUUCUGAAAUUAUACUCAGUGUAAUCCUUCCAAAAUUUUAUAAAUAAAAGAGACGUUAUGAUCAAUUGAAUUAUUAUUGUUGAUUAUUGUUAUAUUUGAAAAUAAGACAUUAUAUAUUCCUUGAAAUUAAAAACAAUAAAAAACAUUGCAUUUCAUGCAUCAUUUGCAUGACAGGUUUCUUUCGCUAGAUGUCUUAUCAGUUCUUCUUCUGUGCAUCAGCCAAGCUGACUGACCGCUAUAAUACUCGUGCUAAUCAACCGAAGAGAAUGGAGCAUAUAGAGCAAGAGAAUAGAGAGUUGAAGGAUGAGACCUCCAGACUUACGAUGCUGAUGGAGUCAGUCAUUGCUGCUCAGAACCAGCCAUCACCGUCUCCUGGAACUCCUCCUCCUUAGAGGACUAUCAUUUCUGAGAUUGCUUCUCCAUCUGUAACUGUGACAGCUACCAGCCAGCCCAUUCCUGCAAUGACUACUGGAUUCCCUUGGGGAAUGCUACCAAAAUUUGUGCCAGAAGGGUAUGCACCCAUAUUUGUUUCUCUGCCUGCAUCUAGCCUCGUCAUGUCAGUACCUCCUCCCAUCGUUCAUACUCUGCCUCAUGUUGAGGAGACUAUCUACCACUCUGAACCAUCUGAAGGUCCAGAUGUCUAUGAAAAGAUGGAUGAGAUGGAGGAUGAAUUCCUUGAGCUGCGCAAAGAAUUGAAGACUCUGAGAGGGAAAGACUUGUUUAGGAAAAGUAUUGCUGAACUCUGUUUGGUUCCCAAUGUCAAAAUUCCGGUGAAAUUCAAGGUCCCAGACUUUGAAAAAUACAAAGGGAAUAUAUGUCCGUUGAGCCAUCUUGUCAGGUAUGCCAGAAAAAUGUCUACUCAAACUGAUAAAGAUUAGCUAUUGAUUCACUACUUCCAAGAUAGUCUGAAUGAAGUUGUCCUGAGAUGGUACAUGGGCCUGGAUAGUGCCAACAUUCGUACUUUCAAUGACUUGGGAAAGGCCUUUGUCAAGCAGUACAAGUACAACGUUGAUAUGGCACAAGAUGGAGACCAAUUGAGGUCUAUGUCUUAAAAGGAUAAAGAGACAUUCAAAGAAUAUGCUCAAAGAUGGAGAGAAUUAGCUGCUCAGAUCAGUCCACCUCUUGAAGAGAAGGAGAUGGCCAAGAUCUUCUUGAAAAUGCUGAGUUUGUUUUACUACGAACGCAUGAUUGCAAGUUCCUCCAAUGAUUUUACUGAAAUGGUAAACAUGGGGGUGAGGCUAGAGGAAGGAGUCCGUGAAGGACGUUUGUCUAAAGAAGAGGCGUUAGCUAGCAAGAAGUAUGGAGGGCGUUUUUCUAAGAAGAAGGAAGGAGAGACUAAUGCAGUAUUAGCUGGGAGGCAGAGGAGGCCUCAUGUAAGGAAAAAUUCUCAAUCCCGUCAACAUCAGCACCAAGUUUCUUUAGUAAUUCCAGUUUUUUCCAACAAUUCCAACAAUCAAUCAGUUCCAAUUCAGCAACAACAUCGGUAACAACCGCAACAAAGAACUAAUUACAACAACAAUCAUCAUCAGCAAAAUUUUGAAAGGAAGAAGGUCUCCUUUGACCCUAUUGCUAUGACGUAUGCAGAGUUGUACUUGUCUCUGGUACUCAAGAAUCUUAUUCUGCCGAGGAACCCUCCGCAAAUUCCUAAGCCACUACCAUGGUGGUUCAAGCCUAAUCUUCGUUAUGCUUUUCACCAGGAAGCCCUUGGUCAUGAUAUAGAAAAUUGUUAUCCGUUGAAAUAUGAAGUUCAAAAACUUUUGAAUAAUGGUAUGGUGUCCUUCGAGGAUAGAGCACCGAAUGUAAAAGCCAAUCCGUUGCUUGCUCAUGGUAACACUUUUAUUAAUAUGGUGGACGACUGUCCAGGAAAUUUUAGAGUUUUUUAUGUACGGUUGUCAUACCUAAUUUUCAACCCUAAGAUGCCACCAUCAUUUGUAUCAUUUGCAUGACAUCUAGUAUCUUUGUAUUACUAACCUAUUGAAAAUACAAAAAGAUUUUCUAAUUUGUUUGUCUUAAGCUAGGGUUUUGUACCAAGAGCUUUCAAAGAGUGAUCAAUCAAGACAUGGUAUGAGUUUCAAAAUUUCAAACUCCUCAUCUUUCCCAAGUUAUCAAGUGACUUCCAUCAACAAGAAUCAAUUUCAAGAUCAUUCCAUCUCAAAUUUAUCAAGGUCAGAGCCCAUCUAAUACCCUUAACUAGGGUUUUGACCCAAAGUCAAAUGUUUGACUUUUUAGCCAGGGCAUGAUCCCAAAGCUUGAAGUAUGGUUCAAAUACUUAAAAUACAUCAUAAUUGAUCCAUUCACAUAAUCCAAUGUUCCAAAUAGAUCCAAGUCAUUAAAGAUUGCAAGAAUUGGAUUCAUAUGAUAUAAAGUCAACUAAGGCAAAGUCAAAGUUUGACUUUUGACAUUUUUGGUCAACCAUGGACUUAUCAACUCAAUGAUCAUGAAAUUAUGGUUCAUGGAUGCAUUUGAUCAAGAAAAAACAAGAAAUUGGAGGUUACUUGCAAAAAGGGCAAGAUUUGGUUUUGUAAAUUUUUCUAAGUUAUAAAAAAAAUACAUGUUCAAGUACCCAUCUUUCCAAUGCAUAACUCGUGAUCCAGCCAUUCAUUUGCUUGCUUUUUUUUUGUUUGGGUUUGAGCCGAAUGUUCAUAUUAAAGGUAUUAAUUCAUACUUCAACUUUGUUCUUUAUGAUUGAUUCCCAAAAAAUACAAGGAUUUCAAGUUAUGAAGCCAUGAAGUUGGUACCCUAAAAUUAAAACACUUAGAAAAAUUUUCAACCAAAUAUGCCUUCAAAAAGUGGCUUAUCACUUUUCACCAUGAUCCAUAUUAAUCCAAGGAAAACUCCCAACAUUAAAGUUGUAUAGGAUGGUCUUAGCUUUCCAAAAAGUCAAAGAGCAUGAAAUUAUCAUAUUUGAGCUAGGAGUUUCGAAGAGUUGAAGUUGGCUCUCCAAAUCUGAAUUUUGGGUCAUUUUCAUGACAAAUUCAUCAUGUAACCUUGAGACAAAGCUAAAUGAUCUUUCUUUACAGGCUAUCUUGCUUCUAAAUCUCACCUUAAUCAGAAUAUUACACAAACCCUUGUGCAUUACACAAGGGAUUGAGCCAUUUACCAAGUCUUGAUGCCAUAUUUAGAAGGUUUUGCAAAAAGCUUCAUAUCCAUUUUGAUAAAGGCAAACUUUUCCAACCACUCUUGCAUUGAGCUUCUAACUUGUUUCUUAUGAUCAUACUUAACCUCUAAAAUAGAAGCAACAUCCUAAAAGUACCUCUAAACUCCUCCUUUCACUCCACCUUUU